rnacentral:rRNA from 1 species
UACGAAGGGGGCUAGCGUUGCUCGGAAUCACUGGGCGUAAAGGGUGCGUAGGCGGGUUUUUAAGUCAGGGGUGAAAUCCUGGAGCUCAACUCCAGAACUGCCUUUGAUACUGAAGAUCUUGAGUCCGGGAGAGGUGAGUGGAACUGCGAGUGUAGAGGUGAAAUUCGUAGAUAUUCGCAAGAACACCAGUGGCGAAGGCGGCUUACUGGUCCGGUUCUGACGCUGAGGGCGCGAAAAGCGUGGGGGAGCAAAACAGG